rnacentral:rRNA from 1 species
AUUGAACGCUGGCGGCAGGCCUAACACAUGCAAGUCGAGCGGAUGAAGGGAGCUUGCUCCUGGAUUCAGCGGCGGACGGGUGAGUAAUGCCUAGGAAUCUGCCUGGUAGUGGGGGAUAACGUCCGGGAACGGGCGCUAAUACCGCAUACGUCCUGAGGGAGAAAGUGGGGGAUCUUCGGACCUCACGCUAUCAGAUGAGCCUAGGUCGGAUUAGCUAGUUGGUGGGGUAAAGGCCUACCAAGGCGACGAUCCGUAACUGGUCUGAGAGGAUGAUCAGUCACACUAGAGCUGAGACACGGUCGAGACUCCUACGGGAGGCAGCAGUGGGGAAUAUUGGACAAUGGGGGAAAGCCUGAUCCAGCAAUGCCGCGUGUGUGAAGAAGGUCUUCGGAUUGUAAAGCACAUUAAGUUGGGAGGAAGGGCAGUAAGUUAAUACCUUGCUGUUUUGACGGUACCAACAGAAGAAGCACCGGCUAACUUCGUG